rnacentral:misc_RNA from 1 species
CGCCUCUAAUUGAAUUGUGCGAAAGAAUUUUUGAAAGAUACAGAACCAUAGGCAAGAAAGAAAAGAGGAAGGCCAGUGAAUGGUUGUAAAACUACUCUAGCCCCAAAAAGCCGUUUAUUAUGAUGGAACAAAACAACUCCAUUUGCAAGCCACACAUUAGGACGCAAAACUAAAGCACAAGCUCUACAAAUUAACACUAUGCAGGGAAAAAAACUCAAACUCAGCCCUAUGUAAAUGUAAGGGAAAAACUAUGAUAAAACUGCAGCCACAAAUAAUGAGGUUAUUAUGAUGGAGCACCUAGAUAUGAGGCUAAUCGGAGUAUGUCGCUGAAUAUUCCUCCGGCGGUCACUUGAGCCCCAGCACCAGGACCGCGGACUAUUAGUGGCUGUUCCUUGUACCUUGUAGUAGUGAAAGCUAUGAUGUUGUCAGAACCUGAUAGCUGUGCAAAUGGAUGAUCUUUCUUAUACCUUCGCAACUCAACACGCCCUUCUUGCCUCACCGCAUCCACCACCCCAACAUACCUCAAGACAUCACCAGCAUCCUCUGCUUUUUGUCUUUCCUUAGCCAUGUCUUGGUCAAAUUGCGGUAACUGCUUCAUGAACGCCUCGGCAGAUGCACUGGCUCUCAAUGGUUCAGGCACAAGACUUUGAACAGGGAUAUCAGAAAGUUCUAAUUUCAAACCAGAUUCUCUUGCAAGAAUUAUCACCUUUCUGGCAACAUCCGUUCCAGAUAGAUCAUCCCUUGGAUCUGGCUCAGUAUAACCUGCCUGCUUUGCUUCUGCCACUACCUCACUAAAUGAUUGUGUGCCUAUGAAAUUGUUGAAAAUGUAACUCAAAGUUCCACUGAAAAUUCCUUCAAUUUGCAAUAUUUUAUCUCCAGUUUCAAGGAGACCUCGUAAAGUGCUAAUAAUUGGAAGACCAGCUCCAACAGUUGCUUCAUAAAAGUAAUGUGUAUAAGAUUGGCGCUGAAGAGCUCUCAGUUUUAAAUACUGAUCAAGUGGCCCUGAAUUUGCCUUCUUGUUUGGGGUUAUCACAUGAAUUCCUUUUCGCAACCAAUCAUGGUAACAGCUCGCAACAUUAGAGUCAGCUGUGCAAUCUACCAAAACAGUAUUUGGAAUAAAAUGGUUCCCAUGCACAUGGUGAGUGAAUUUCUCCAGGUCAGCUAUUUCACCAUUCUCCUUCAUAAGUUCUCUCCAUCUUGACAAAUCAAUUCCAACUUCACUCAAAAGCAUUCCCCUUGAGCCAGUGAUCCCCAUGACACGCAAAUCAAUGUUAAAUUCUUCCUUAAGGACUGCUGCCUGAUCUCGGAGCUGAUCAAGUAAUGUGCCACCAAUCAAACCAGGUCCAAUAAUUCCCAUAGCUAUUGUGGUUUUUGAAAGAUAAAACCUUGAGUGUACCGCCCUUAAAGCCCUUAUACAAUCUUCACGCUUGACUACGACAGUAAUAUUAUACUCAGAACAGCCUUGGGCUAUGGCACGGACAUUAAUACUUGCCUUAACUAGGGCAUUGAACAGAGUAGCACUGACUCCAGGAGUACUAGCCAUUUUCUGGCCAACUGCUGCUAAAAUGCUACAAUUUGGAACGAUGGCAACCUGGGAAAGGCGUCCAGCAUCCAAAGCUUGACGAAAUCUAGACUGCAAGACCUCUGCAACAGCUUUUACUUCCUUCUCGGGCACAGCAAAGCAUACCGAAUGCUCGCUACUAGCCUGCGAUAUCAUAAUGACAUUAGCACCAACAUCUUUCACAGCACUAAAAAUGGCACUAGCUGUGCCAGGAACACCAGCCAUUCCGGUUCCUUCAACAUUCACAAGGGCCACAUUGUCUAUCGUCGCAAAACCUUUGACAGGGGAGUCCAAUUUCUGGUCAUCUUCGCUCACAUUCAUAGCAGGCUGGCAGAUCAUUGUUCCAGGUGAAGCAAGGUUGAAAAUAUUCCUUAUCAAGAUAGGAAUAUCAUAAUGCAUAACAGGAAUAAUAGUGCGGGGAUGUAAAACAUUAGCUCCAAAAUACGACAUUUCCCAAGCCUCUUGAUAAGAUAAUGUCCUCAGUAUCACAGCCUCACUAACUUUUCUGGGGUCUGCACUGUAGACCCCAUUAACAUCAGUCCAAAUAGUGACUUGUCGAGCCCUCAAUAGAGCACCCAUUAUUGCUGCAGAGAAGUCACUUCCAUCCCGCUUCAAAGUAGUUGGAAUAUUCUGAGGUGUGCUGGCAACGAAACCAGUUGCAACUAUUGUCUUACAUGGAUUUCGAGAGAACCAUUCUUCAAGUCUUUUUUCAGAUUCCACAAAAUCAGGAUCAACUUGAUUAGAGCUGGUAGGAUUUACAAUAAGCACUUCUCUUGUAUCCAUCCAUUUACAAUCUAACCCGCUCUUUCUGACGACAUAUGAUAACAUCUGAGCAGACCAUAACUCUCCAUGUCCAACAACAAAAUCAGAAAAUGAUUCUGUUGCAUGACCAGCUAUGUAUAUUGCAUGAAGCAUGGCUUUGAGGUUAUUAACAUCAUCAUGUAACUGGGCCAGAAAACUAGCAAGAUCUUCCCCAUCAAGAAGAUCUGUUGCCGUUAAUCUAUGCUUCUCAAAAACAGCAUCAGCAGCAGCAAUAUAAGAAUCAUCUCGUGAUUGUGCCUUGUAGAUGAGGUCAUACAUCAUGUCUGUCACCUUUGACAUUGCCGACACAACCACCAAUUUCCCAUCUGAUCCAUCAUUAACAAUUACCUCAGCUACAUUCUUGAUUCUCUCAGAGGUUCCGACACAAGUACCACCAAACUUAUGGACUGA